UACAUGGGGUGCAAACGUUGCUCGGAAUCAUUGGGCGUAAAGCGCACGUAGGCGGUUCGUUAUGUCGGAUGUGAAAGCCCUCGGCUUAACCGGGGAAGUGCAUCCGAAACUGGCGAGCUUGAGUACUAAAGAGGGUCGCGGAAUUCCCGGUGUAGAGGUGAAAUUCGUAGAUAUCGGGAGGAACACCAGCGGCGAAGGCGGCGACCUGGGUAGAUAUUGACGCUGAGGUGCGAAAGCGUGGGGAGCAAACAGG
rnacentral:rRNA from 1 species